GCGUACGGGAGAAGCAGCGACGGCGAGGGAGCGGGUGGCAGCCGCGGAGGAUGAGUUUCUCGGCGAGAUCGGUGUCGGAAGGGCAAGUAAAGAAAGGAGUGUAGUUCAUGUACUCGUGGAGGAGGUCGGGGUAGUUGUGGCAGGCGGAAGCUAUGGGAGAGAGCUUAGAGUAGAGGAGGAGAUCUUUCGGCGGCGCGGAGGAGGAAAUGGUUGAUGAAGUUGAAGUAGAUUUGUCCGGCUGGUGGUGGGUUGUGAGGUGGUUGAUGGCGGAGCGGAUAGUGUGGAGCUGACGGAGGAGGUGGUCGGGGACAGUGGGGACAGAGGACGGUGAGGAUUUGAGGGUGGAUUGGAAGAAGCUGGUGGUGGAGGAGAGAUGGUAGAGAGAGAGGAUGUUGGUAGCUACCAUAGCUACUAGUAGAAGCAGAUUUAAGCUCAUAGUGAAUCCCGCCAUUGUUGUAGCUCCCUUUCUCCUCUCAGGAGCUUCUCUCAGAUCCAAGUUCUUCAAUCUCUGUUUCGUCACACAGAUUCUUGGUUAUUUUUUUCCUGAGAGAGAACCUGAUUCUUGGGCUUUAAUGGUGUCUUAAAGCCAAGAUUUCUGGGUUUUUUCAGGCUGGAUUCUUGGAGUUAGUGACACUUGAGUUAGAUAAACUUUUCAUCAAAGAGGAGACCUUUCAAGUCAAAGUCUUGUAGCAGUAGAGAUACAAACAUAGAUCUGAUCUGAGUGUAUGUAUAUAGUUUUAUGUAAUUUUAAUUUACUUACAAUGGAAAAAGGCAUUUAUUCGGAUCCAAUGUCAUUAUUGAUUUCCCAAAAUUUGCAUGGAAAAAGUAACAAUCCUGGUGAAAAGUUGUACUGUACUAAAAUCAUCUUAAGGCACGUAGGGAAAUUUAACACAUUUGUUCUGUUCACAUGUCUUGUCUUUUGCUUACCUUUUCAUAUACUAGUUAUGUGUUAUUAUUGCAGUAAAAUGUCAUAAAAAAAGAUUUGUUUCAUCUACUAGUAUCAAAACUUAAUCGAGUUUGUCUACUGGAAACAAAAACUAGAGCUUGCUUAAUCAAAACUUUAAAAGCAUCUUACUCAGUUUAGUCCAUAUAAUCACUCUCUUAGUUAUCUUCACACAUGAUUCCAAAACUGAGGAUUAUGUGUGUUUGCUGCUACAAUGUGGUUAGGAUUAUGUGUUUACAAAGUACAAACUAUGCACUUGAAAUGUAACGGAGAACACAAAAUAUAUGAGAACCAAGGAUCAUUGUGUGAAACCAGUAUCUUUACAAAUGGAUCAAUUUGAGCAUAAUUGUUGAGGAAACCAAAUGAAAAAAGCCCAAUGCAGGCAACAGAUCCAUAAAAUGUUAAGAAGCCGAAGCAAAACAACACCAAGUGACUUCAUUUAUUUAUUUUACUAGGUGUUUUCCUGCACCAUGUUCAAUAAUUUUUUUUUAAAAUCUAAUUUAUAUUUAAAAAUAAAUUUUAUUAAAUAUUAUAUACUUUACUAUUUUCUUACUAAUAUUUAAUAUAGAUUUGAUAUAUAUUAAAUCAAUUUGCAUAAAACUAAUAAAAAUUGUAUAAUUAUCAAAAAUUUAGCCUAAUGGACCUCUCAGUCCUCGAAGAACCAACCUGAUUAGAGAUUUUCAAAUAUAAGAAAUGCUUUUAGAGCCAUUAAUAAAGUGAGCUAAAAGGAGCCGAAGAUCUCACCUUGGAUAUAUAACCCCGGAUAGUGUUUGUUGCUUUAUAAAUCUCAUACUCCAUAGAUUGUCCCCAUGGAAAAUUCACCCAAGACCUCAACGUACUAAGAUCCGUCAAGUCAUGAGUCGGUAACUGAGCAGCAGGACUUACUUGGUCCAUCAGAUAAGGCUGCACAGUCUCCAGCCUCACACAACACACAUCACAAACCCUUUGAGGAUCCGAAACGCGGAACUUCACCGGAAGCAAGCUUCUUCCUUUAGAACAGUCUCUGCAGAACAAUCCUCCACAGUAUCGACAGUGAUGACGCGAACACAUGAUCGGAUGAAACCUCACGCUACAGAGCAUACAAGCAGAAGCAGCACUAUCUGGUAGCCACUUUGGUGGCUCUGUUUCGAGAAUCUCUCUCGCGUUGCCAAAGUUGGCUUCGGUGAGAGUGUGAGCCAUCUCUUGCCAAGCUUGUUCGAGAAGAUGUUGUCCCGCGAAAAAUGAAAUGCCGCUCUCGAGGUUGCCUGAAGUAAGAGCGGUUGCUUUACCACGUGCUGCGAGUAACAUAUCGACUAUCACAUCCCACAUUGUUAGCUCCUUGUCUUCAUCAAGGAUCUGGUUCCAUCCCAUCUCUCCCUCGGGGAAGUAACCACCGUUGAAGCUAAGCCCUCUUGACCAUUCCUCAUGAUCAGGCUCCAGCAUUGGUGGGACUGAAACUGGUAUCCAAACACCGGUUUCUUCAGAAAGUGGUGUGUCAUAGAAAAAGUAUUUACCACGCUUCUGCUGAUCUGGUUCAAGUUUGUUGCUCUCGUCUUUACGUAAGGUAGAAUCUUCUUGUCUAGCCUCCCUGAUGGUUUGACUUGCAACAUUACCAGCAUUAGAAUCACCAAGAUUGACAUCCUAUGAUCAACAAUCAGAGACGGAGAAAGUUAGAACUUUUAAAUCAACCUAGUAUAGAUUUCGUUUGAUCUAGAGAAGGAAAAAUAAAAGAAUUUAAACAACAUACCAUUCCGAGCUUCAAAUUUUGAUAAUCUGAUUCAAGUCUUUUGCUAUCGUCUUCACGUAAGGUAUAAUGUUCUUGUAUAGUCUCCCUGAUGCUUUGACUUACGACAUUACCAGCAUCAGAAUCACCAUGAUGAUCUCGAACACUGUCAUCCUAUGAUCAGCAAUCAGAGAAAAGAACUUCAACAAACCAUUUCGAGCUUAAAGUUUAGACCUUUGAGCUCAACCCUAGUAUAGAUUUAGUUUGGUUUAAGACAAGGAUUCAAAAGAUGAAAAGAACAAACCAUUUGGAGCUUCAUAUUCUGAUGAUCUGGUUCAAGUCUUUUGCUCUCGUCUACAAAGCCUUCAUCCAAGGUAGAAUCUUCUUCUUCUUUAGUCUCCCUGAUGCGUUGCCUUACGACGUUACCAGCAUCAGCAUCACCAUGAACUCCUUUAUCCUAAGGUAUAAACAAUGAGACAGAAACGAAAAAUUAACCAAAGCAUUUCGUGUUAAAGUUUAGACCUUUAAACCCAAACCCUAGUAAUUCCAUUUGAUUAAGCCACCGACACAUCGAAACUAAAAACUAAAAACACCAAACACAUGUGCGAUGUCUAUGAGAUGACGAUCAUUAUCAAAAUUAACCCUAGUAUUAUGAUCGCGUAAAAAGCCGAACAAAAUCGAUUCGACUCACCAUCUUUUUUAGAUUUGAUCCUUCCUUCCUUCCUUCUCUCGACUUGGAUUCUUACGAUUUUGAGUUCCUUUCGUUUGGGGAAAAAACUCAGCAAACACAAACACGCGACUUCAUCCAGAGGGAAACGAUUACAAGUUAACACCUUUCUCAUACGAUUUUACUUCUAUUUUAUUACUCUGUUUUACAUUUAAGUCCUCAUAUUUUAUACCUUUUUUAUAUUUGGACCCCAAACAUUCGUUUUUGAUAAUUUACUCCACAUUUUAGAAAGGAAAGUGCAACAGAACCCACAAAGAAACUGUCUUAAUUCUUCUUUUGGUUGUCUGGAUUUGUUUGUAUAGAGUAAAUUAGUAGGCAAAUGAAGAGUGGGAGCUUAUCUUGGUUGAGCAUUGCUAGCACAAAAGAACUCUCACAAAUGAAGCAAAACCAAGUGCACAAGAGAAACUAGAAAAGGUUAAGCAAGUCAGGCUCAGAUUAAGUUCGAAUUUGUGGUCAAUCUCAUGCUCUCAGACCAUGUAUUGUGGGCUUGGAUAACAUACUUGUGCCUAUGUCAGGUUGGUAAGGGAUUAUGGAAAAAUAAUAAAAUCGUCAUAAACUCUGAGAAGCUUUAGCCAAAAAAAAGAAAAAAAAAAAACUUUCAGAAGCUUAAAUUCAAUCCUAAAACUUCUUAACGGUUCUUAUCUGCAACUGCAAUCUGCCUUCACAAAAAAAUAAAACAUAUGUAUAUAUAUAAGCCAUGACAGAAGCAAACGGAAGAAGCCAUAAAAUUAUGUAUACCACCACUUAUCAGUCCCUCUAACAAACAAUACAUCAAAUCUUUGCCCCCCCUACUUGAUCCAAGACAAUAUUGUUGCUUGUGUGCUUCCAGCUGGAAAAAAAAGACUUCAUGUUCUUCCAAACCUUCAACAACAGUAUGCUGUUUUCUUCAAACAUGCACGUUCUGAAACUCUCGAGGAAAGUGCCUGCAAAACAAACCACAACUUUUGAUCAGACGUGAAACCAGAAACAAAGACACAACGUGACUGAGCUAGAAAAUUGCACUGUUCAAAGCAACAACUCAAAACCAACGUUUCUGGAUUGUGAAUCUGUGACUACGUUAAUUCUCCAAAGCUAAACCAUGUGAUCAAGAAGAUGCACAGUUUACCUUAAUCAUCAUUAUCUUGCAACAGGUUUUUGAAGCAGAGCUGUCAAGAAAACUUCACCAUGUUUCGAAUCAACUUUGUUCGCCACCGCCCACUUCACCUUCUUAUAACCCAACUUCCCGAUCAUCGGCGCAUACACAUUCUCAAGAUCAACCUUUUUGCUAAAAAACCGGUCCAACCAUAGAUAACCACCACCUCGAAGAACCCGGUCCAAAUCAAACAAGAAAAACUCCAUAACCGUAACCGGAAUCCACCGGUUCACCGCCCGUCCACACCUAACCAAAUCCACCACACCGUCAAACACCGGAAGCCUCUGCUGGAGAGGCACGUGGAGCGGCACGAGCCCUCUCAACGCCACCGCCUCGCUAUACGGCGCGUUGAAGUUCAUCGUCGUGGUCAGGACGGUUACAUUGCGAGCCUUCAUCGCCGCGGCGAAAGAUCCGGUCCCACCGCCGACGUCGAUCCCGAGCCGGAGGACGGAGUUGGCGGUUUUGGCGAUCUGGAGGAGCUGAGAGAUGGGGAGAUCGAGCUCGGACUUGUAAGAAGAGAAUUGAGAUUUGGAUUUGUGGAGGGAGAGAUCGAAACCUAGACCGGGGAACUUCGUCGUCAAGCAAUCGAAAGUCUUGCACGAGUAGUAAGACCAGAUAACGUUCGACUCCGGUUUGGAAUCGGUCGGGUUUCGCGGCGUACGGGAGAAGCAGCGACGGCGAGGGAGCGGGUGGCAGCCGCGGAGGAUGAGUUUCUCGGCGAGAUCGGUGUCGGAAGGGCAAGUAAAGAAAGGAGUGUAGUUCAUGUACUCGUGGAGGAGGUCGGGGUAGUUGUGGCAGGCGGAAGCUAUGGGAGAGAGCUUAGAGUAGAGGAGGAGAUCUUUCGGCGGCGCGGAGGAGGAAAUGGUUGAUGAAGUUGAAGUAGAUUUGUCCGG
rnacentral:lncRNA from 1 species